GUCCCCGAAUGACGAACUCAGACUUCAUGUAAAUGAGUUUGUGUGUAUUAGUGACCUUUCUUCGCCAUACAUCUCUCACGUUCAACGUCAUCUCAACUCAGUUCUCUCUCGGUUUCUUUAUUUGCAUUCUCUUUCACUUUCUAGAGAACCAAAGUCAUAAAAUUAAAGUCUAUUUACCCUUCAAGCAAGAAAACGGAGUCCAGAAAAGACAGUCCGACCUCCGACCGAGAAAAGCGGGGUUGCACUCACACACUUGCAACUUUUUGUGUAUGAACACAAAGUCGAACGAGAAUCGUGGUGGAAAGUGAGAAAUGGAAAAAAAAGUGAAACAGACAUAGCCAACAAGAGCAAAAGCGUCAUUUUGUUAUGUUUCGUUGAAGUGUAUAGUCGCGUCGCGUCGUGUCUCGUGUCGUUGUUAUUAUAAUAUUAGUAUAAUUAUAAACAAUAUCAAAUUAUAAACAAUAUGGAAACAAAAAAAGAUGUAAUCUCUAAUGAUGAAGAAAAAUCUAGAAGGUGAAACAUGCGAUUGGGUAUCUAAAAAAACACCAACAACAGCAGCAGCAUCAAAUGAAAUAAAAUGAAAAAAAAUGUAUUGUAUUUUAUAUUGUAUUUAUUGUGAAAAUUUCGUUUGCCAAAAUAAAAUAAAAAAUAAAACAGUUUCAGUGAAAAAAAAAUAAA